rnacentral:lncRNA from 1 species
AUGUCUCAUUUAGAUGAUGCAUUAGAUGUUGUUCCUGAUUCUCAGCCGGUAGAGAGAAGCACCAAACCUUUGUUGUCUGGUCUUUUGGAGACUUCUUUUGAUAAAACCAAACAGUGGAAAAAGAGAUCAUGCUCUGUUCCUGAGCAGAAUAUAACAACUGGAGACAAGGAAAAGCUAAAUCCACCGUUGGCACAUACAUCCCAUCCAGGGCGAGUGUCCGAAACAGCUUUGCAUUCUGAUCCUACAAAAGAGGAACCUGCUGUUCUCUUAAAGAAAGAGACUGCAAAUCCAAAACAAUCAAAGACGAAAACGAAGUCUAAAGAGAUCACAGAUGCGACUAAAUCACUAAUCAGUAAAAUUGGUGACAGAUAUCAAGUAAAGACUGAUGAGAAAAGCAAAGCAAGAUGCUCCUUGGGUUUUACCAGGCCACAGUUAAAUAAAUCCUGUGUCUCUAAGGAAGAAGUUCAGCAUAGAAACCCCAAAACCACUACUUUGCAUAAUGGAACUGCUGGUCAUAUUAUGUAAGUAGUUAAAGCAUUUUCAAACAGAAUUUCCAAUUACCCAUACCUACCUUUGUGAAAUGCUCAUUAAUUCAGUCACAAAAUUGAUCUGUGUGUCUGUUUGACAGGGAUGAUGUCUACAACUUUAACAUCAGUGGGUUUGAUGAGCCUACAAUAAAGCUUGGAGUAAGAAUAUAACUGAAACUGAU